rnacentral:rRNA from 1 species
ACUGCGAGUGAAGAGGGAAGAGCUCAUCAUUGGAAUCUGACAGCGUUACGCUGUCCGAGUUGUAGAUGAGGAGUAGUCCAUCUGGACUGCAUGGCGUCCAAGUACAAUAGGCCGUCAGUGGGACAUCAUAGAGGGUGACAAUCCCGUCCUUGAUGCCAAUGUGCAAGUCCGUUACGAUGGCUAUCUCAGAGAGUCGAGCAGUUUGGGAUUUGCUGCUUAAACAUGGGAGGUAGAUUCCUUCUAAAGCUAAAUACAGGCGAGAGACCGAUAGAGAACAAGUACCGCAAGGGAAAGAUGAAAUAGAACUCUGUGAAGGGAGUCAAAAGGCGUGAAAUUGUUGCGAGAGAAGCGAUUCAAGUCAGCGUAGCUAGGCCCAUCAAGCCUCUUUGUGCUUUGGACUAGCUUUGCCAGCGGUCUUGUCCCUUAGAGACUUGACUUUUUUUAUGAUGUCCAGCCUGGUAUGCACAGGUAGCCCUCCUCUUGGGGGGGCCAGUGACAUGGCUGGUGGAAUGGCUUGCAAUCGACCCGUCUUGAAACACGGACCAAGGAGUCUAACAUGUAUGCGAGUAUAAGGGUGGCAAACCCGUAUGCGCAAUGAAAGUAACUUUCGAUGAUUGAGAAUGGCCUGAUGACCAGACAAGCAAUAUAUUCAUGUCCCUCGUACGGCCAUUGCCCAAGUUCCGUGGUAGAUCCCAUGAACAUGGAGUUGGAGCAUACAUGCUAGGACCCGAAAGAUGGUGAACUAUGCCUGGACAAAGCGAAGCCAAAGGAAACUCUGGUGGAGGCUUGUAGCGAUUCUGACGUGCAAAUCGAUCGUCUGAUCUGGGUAUAG